rnacentral:rRNA from 1 species
AUUGAACGCUGGCGGCAGGCCUAACACAUGCAAGUCGAGCGAGUGGCGGACGGGUGAGUAAUGUAUGGGGACCUGCCCGAUGGAGGGGGAUAACUACUGGAAACGGUAGCUAAUACCGCAUACCAUCAGAUGAACCCAUAUGGGAUUAGCUUGUCGGUGGGGUAACGGCUCACCUAGGCGACGAUCCCUAGCUGGUCUGAGAGGACGAUAAGCCACACUGGGACUGAGACACGGCCCAGACUCCUACGUGAGGCAGCAGUGGGGAAUAUUGGACAAUGGGCGCAAGCCUGAUGCAGCCAUGCCGCGUGUAUGAAGAAGGCCUGCGGGUUGUAAAGUACUUUCGGCCGAGAAGCGUUACCGACAGAAAAAGCACCGGCUAACUCCGUGCCAGCCGCCGCGGUAAUAC